rnacentral:rRNA from 1 species
UGGGAAUAUUGGGCAAUGGGCGAAAGCCUGACCCAGCAACGCCGCGUGAAGGAAGAAGGUUUUCGGAUUGUAAACUUCUUUAUCAGGGACGAAGAAAGUGACGGUACCUGAUGAAUAAGCCACGGCUAACUACGUGCCAGCAGCCGCGGUAAUACGUAGGUGGCAAGCGUUAUCCGGAUUUACUGGGUGUAAAGGGCGCGUAGGCGGGGAUGCAAGUCAGAUGUGAAAUCUAUGGGCUUAACCCAUAAACUGCAUUUGAAACUGUUCUUCUUGAGUAUCGGAGAGGCAAUCGGAAUUCCUAGUGUAGCGGUGAAAUGCGUAGAUAUUAGGAGGAACACCAGUGGCGAAGGCGGAUUGCUGGACGACAACUGACGGUGAGGCGCGAAAGCGUGGGGAGCAAACAGGAUUAGAUACCCUGGUAGUCCCUAGACUGCCAAGGGCACACAGGGG